rnacentral:lncRNA from 1 species
GGAAAACUGAGGAAUGACACAUAUUCUUCCCACAAUCUGCCUGCCAACAGACCUUGGAGAUAAAUAUAAAGGGUCAGGGACAAAUGUGGUUAAAGACAAAACCAUGAACUGGCCACAUCUAUGCAGAGUUUCAGUUCUGUCUCUGGGUGACCAGGACUCCAGGAUGUUGCUGAGACUUUCUCAUCACUUGACAAGGUGAGAUUCAAAAACUGCCUUCUCUCAUGGGUUGAGAAAAUUUCACACUAAGAAGAAGAAGAUGAAAGCUUCUGAAUUUUGUGAAUACUUGAUUCAAAUAACAGCAUUUGUACUGUUUUAAGGAACUUUCUUAAGGGAUUUACCUUCCUAGCUUUGAACUUCCUGAUAAUUUUUUUCUAAGGAGAAUUCCAAUAAGCAAGAGGGUUAAUUUUUUUUUUCAGAUCCUAGAGACAAAAUAAACAUGGUAUGCAUGAUGUACA